GUCGUUUCAGGAGCACAUAUACUAAAAUUGGAACGAUACAGAGAUUAGCAUGGCCCCUGCACCAGGAUAAUACACAAAUUUGUGAAGUGUUCCAUAUUUUG
ensembl:snRNA U6 U6 spliceosomal RNA